UGCCAGCAGCCGCGGUAACACGGAGGGUGCAAGCGUUAAUCGGAAUUACUGGGCGUAAAGCGCGCGUAGGUGGUUUGUUAAAUCAGAUGUGAAAGUCCACGGCUCAACCGUGGAAGUGCAUUUGAAACUGGCAGACUUGAGUAUUGGAGGGGGUAGUGGAAUUCCCGGUGUAGGGGUGAAAUUCGUAGAUAUCGGGAGGAAUACCGGUGGCGAAGGCGACUACCUGGCCAAAUACUGACAACUGAGGUGCGAAAGCGUGGGGAGCAAACAGGAUUAGAUA
rnacentral:rRNA from 1 species